rnacentral:lncRNA from 1 species
UCCGACUCUGCAUUUCCACUCUCGUGCUGCCCAAGGAGGAAUCCUGCUCUGGUAGUGACACUGGCCCUGUGACAGGAAGCACUUACAAACCAUCCCCCAUGCGACUGGAGGCCUUACAGGUAGGCGUCUGCAUUUCCUGCUCUGGACACAGUGAAGGUUCCUUCUGCCCAGGGUGACCCUGAGGAGCGGGGACAGGGACUGUGGGGAACCAAGCCAUGUCAGGACAGAGGUGGUAUAGAUGGUUUUGUUGUUUUGUUGGGGGGUGGGGAUUCCUGGGUUGUAAAAUGCCAGGUUCAUUCCUUUUUGUUCUUUUGUUGGAAGCUGUUGUAAUCGUCCCAGGUCUUCUAUGACAGUUGGCUAUAAUUGUGCAGUAAUUCGGAAAGGAAUUACACAGUUUAUCUUUCAUUACUGCAGCUUGGGUAGUUCUUGAUAAACUUCUGGCUGGUCUUGUGUCUGCUUAAUACAGAUAAAAUAACUGCUCCUUCAGAAGAAGAAAAUAAUCCUAGAUUUUAAAGAAUUGCUUUUUCUCUACUCAGAUAUGGUCUGAGCACAGGCUUGGUCCUGGAGGUUGCUGCUGAUUAUCUGGAUAACAUUAAACACUCCCUUUAAUCUUCUCAGCCUUAGUUUCUUCCUCUGUGAGCUCAGUUAUUACCUGCCUAAAAGAGUUAUCCUAAGAGUUGAGAUAAUAUUAAUGAAACACAAUAACAAACUAUAAAAUAUCAUAAAAUUAUGAUACAAUAUUUUUCAUUUAAUUCAACAUCAUAUUUCAGCCCCCUUUUUAACUGGCGUGAUUUCUGAAGUAUUCAGAUCUUGGGAUUAAUUCCCUGCUCUCCGUAGGUAUUGGCUCACCUGGCCCGGGGCUACUUUUCAGUGGCUCAGGUCUACUUGAUGGAGCUUGGUGAGGUGAUUUGCAAGUGCGUGAGUGAAGCAGAUCCAUCCAUUCAGCUUCAUGGAGCAAAGCUUCUGGAAGAACUAGGUACAGGCUUGAUACAGCAGCAUAAACCAGAUUCUGCAGUAGCACCUGAGCAGAGAGUGCCAGUCUUCAUGGUAAGUCCAUGCCCGUUCACAGCUUAGUGCUUCAGUUUGUUUUAUUUUGAGGCUUAGGGAUAAAGUGGGAUAGAUGGUAAAGGUUUCUUCCAAUGUCAAAAAUUACGGUUUAUAAUGUAGCAUGAUGUAAAAUUAGCAUUAAUAGAUUUUAUUUGUAAUUCAGUACGUGGUAGGAUUGUAUGUAUCAUACAACCAGCAAUGGGAAAAACAACAGUUCUUUUGCAUGAAACCUAGCUUGGCUAUUCAGCCUACUGAAGAUGGCAGAACGAGUCAAGGAUUUUAAAGUAGAAGGCAUAAGAUCAAAUCUGAAGAACAACAUGUAAUGGCUCUGUAGUUAUGAGCAUAAUCUCUUUAUUUUAAAGAGGAAUAAAAAUCCUUAAAUCACAAGUCUGUAGAAACCUUGAAUGAAAUCUAAGGAUGUUGGCACACACUAGGUGCUCAGUGAAUGUCAAUUCCUGUAACCCCCUCAACCCUCCCCUAAUGAUUCCUUUUCAAUUCCUGUGAUCUCAUCUUGUUCCUGUUA